GAUUUACAGUGAUGCUUAAUAAAAUAUUCACCUUCCCGCCUCAUCCCAACUUUGAGGCAUUUCUUCAGGCGGCAGUACUGACACUGAUUGCGGUGGUGUUGGUCUAUAGGACAAUUCCGGUUGGCACGACAUGUGUACGUUAAGUUUCUCCGAACACUUCUCUUGAAGAAACUUUUGCAGCCCUCGCAAGUGAACUGGCCGUAGUGUUUUCCGCUGGAUUUAUCCCCGCACACCACACACUCGAUGUGCUGCUGUUGCUGCUGGCAGGGCUGCUGCUUCUCGCCGCCAGGCUGGACGCUGUGACUGCUGGCUCCGAGCGGGGUGGAGGGCGGCCCGGGCUGGCCCGGGGUCUGCGGAGUAUGGGGAGCAGCCGACGCCGCCUGCUGCUGCUGUGGUUGCUGCUGGCUCGGCUGCGUUUGUGCAGACUGACCGCCCUGAGCUCCGGCCACGUCGUCCUGAGGAUCUCGCCAACUGCUAACUACCAUUGCCAUAUCUCGGGCCCAAAAAGUGCGGGAAAACAAGUUGAUCGCACGGAUUAUUUUUUUUUGUCCUGUUGGUAGGGAGCAGAGUUGGAUGGUGGUAACAGAAAAUGGAAAUAAAAAGGAGAGAGAGAAAGGAAUAAAACUGCGAUCAAAGCAACGCAGACAGACACACACACAUAAGGAGCAGUGAAUGAAUGAGUGAGUGUUGAUCAACAGGAACCGAAACAAAUGGGGGCCAAAAAAAAAGAAUAAAAGAAGAUCCCGAUCAGGGUACGCAAGUGUCGGGAGGCCAGAUCCAGGGCAACACGCAGUCAGCCAUUCAGGAAACCAGUAUAGGAGGGAGCGAGGGGUUAAAGAUUAUGGAGAGUUGGGGAGAAAAUGAGACGAUCUAAAUACGAAGGAACAGACACACAGACACACAGAAAAAUAACCAUGCGAUUCGAAGUAAAGUAUGGCGAGUGUUAAAUCCCUUCUUCUCCGGAGAGGAACAGAAAAUAGAAGAUCGGAAUUGUCAGGAAAAAAAACUCACCAGGACAAAAAAAAGGACGGUCGACGUUAAAGCGCCCUAUUUUCACCUCUCAUGCGGAGUGGAGAGAGAAAGAGAGGAAAGAAAAAACAACUAAUAGAAUAUGCAAGGGGGAGACAAAAUGAAUGCGUUUAAACGGGAAGACUAGCGGAGCAAUUUUUCCGAAAGGGGGAUCUGCGCGAAUGUCUGUAUAUAGUGAACUUUGACACUACUAUUGAAACUGACACGUUUCUAUGGAGAUCGCUGCCUUAUAUGGAGCUCAUGUCAAGGAGCCAAGAGAGGGGCUGUUGGCAACUGAUAAUCAAAGGCGACUGGUCAUAGCCCUCAAUUGGGGCUGGGGAGGCUAAGGUUAGCCAGCCUCCUGCACACUAUUGGUUAGCCGUCUUAUUUAUUACCUACGACGCUCUGACAAGCAAAAUUUACAUUAGAUCUCCUGCGCUGGUAUUUACUUUGAGACCUUAUUAGUAUGGGUCGCCUGUGGUCACCACAAAAAAGCAACACGAGGACCCUGUGCUUGUAAUAUAACAAUGCAGCAAGCAGCCUCGAAAUUUCAGAUUAUGGGGAAAAAAGUUAGUUGACAAUCAAACUUUCUUUUCGAAAUUUAAUGGAUCAUUGUUUGAAAAUAAAUAAAUAAAACGGGCAUCUCAUCCCUUUUGUGUCAAAAGAGAAAAAACGUUGUUAUUACUGUCGCAAAAUUAAUUCGACUGGGGCAGAGUGGACAUUGGGAAGGAGGCUGCCUCUCUCCUGGCAAUUUGCUUCUGUGAAGUGUAAAGAGCUUACACAGGCACCUGUAACCGAGCGGAGCGCAAAUCGUCAAAGCAAACCAGCAGGCAAAAUGCCAGGAUUCGCUGCUUCCCACCUUUACAGGAUACUUCCAGCAGUAAUAGACGGUAAUAGCCUAAGACAAAUCAGCCUAUUCUUGUAAAAAUAGAACCACAAAGCUUAAAUCCUCUAGUUGACUGAAAGGAUGCACCUUUUCCACCCAUUCCAAGGACACCAAUAAAUAAGCUUUUUGGUACAGGUAUUGUCAAGGUUCUUUGGCUUAUAUGCAUCAAAAACAAAAUGAGAUGACCAACCUUUAUUGAACAGCUUAGCUAUUGUCUUAAAAAAAAGCUUUGGAAAGUUAAACUAUUUGAAACGAACCACUAGACUUGAACAAUUCCGUUCAAAACUGUCGCAUAUGGAUAACAUAUUGACGAAUAUUAUGUCAAUGUGGAAAUAACAUUUGAAUAGUAAAAUAAAUAAUGUACAGGAUAAUACCUCUAUAAACAACUGCAGUAACCACUGGAAAACAAAUAACUAUUCUGUGUUACUGUGUAUGUUAAGAGACGGAUAAAAUAACCUCUAGUGCAUUUAUGGUCAGUUGUAACUGCAGGUUGCAAUGUUUUGGGAAUAUUUUGUUUAACAAUGGUUAAUGUAUACAUACAUACUCACAAAAUGUCCCUCACUUAUACAUUCAAGUAUGACAUAAUACAACAUAAUUUAAUCUGUUUUGAAAUUAUGUUAAUCAUAUGAGUGAAAGUUUCAGUCUGCAUAUCUCUUUGAAUUAUGCUGCAAGACUUAAAAACUCAGAUUAAGCAUCAAACAUCAUUUGUCAGUUUCUCCUAUUUGAAACACAUGAUUAGACAAACAGUAAUGUAACCUGAUUAUGAUAGAAACAUUUAUGUAUAUGGAAGCAAUAUUACCUAUAACUGUUUUCUCUGGAGAUUUUACUAAUGCAAUAAUAACAUUUGAAUUAAUUCAUUAAGCAACAAAAUGGCUCUCAUAUCACUAAAAGUUAUAUGAACAUUUGCAACUGAAACUGUCCAAAAUCAUCCAAGAGUUAAUUUAUUUAAAUUUCUCAAUUCCCGAUUUUAUUCAAAGUCUAACUUAAAAUUAUUUUUAGACUAGAAAUAUUUGAUUACUUUUUGUUCAGUCAUUUUUUAAAGUCAAUGAAAAUAUUUUACUUGCAUGUCAAAUUACACAGAUAACAGUAAAAGUCCGUCCAUUUUGAAUAAAUUAACCAUUAGGAGCACUCCAAAACUGCCAACACUGAACCUGAAUAAACAGUCACAAUUCUUCAGUGACUUUGAACCAAAUGAAAAAUAUUCAGAACUUCCUCUGUAUAGAUAAAUGAAAACAGAUGCUAUAAACCCACUAAUAGCUUGCAAACAAAUUGGACAAAUUUCCCAGUUGUGGUAGAACUAUAGUACCUCUCAGUCACUGCUUUGUCCACAUCACAUUCAUUCUUAGCUUUUCCAAAUCAACCUUUAAGUUUGAAGUUUGCUGUGUCACUGAUUCAUCAACAAUCAUACAAAUAAGAGUGUUUCUAUGUUGUUAUUGUUAAAUUUAAGAGUAACUGUAGGAUUUUACUUGUUGUUCAGUCACAUAUACAUAUAUUUACAUAAAAUGUACAAUGCUGAUAUAUCCUUAUAUGUAAUAAAUUUUAGAUAAUUUUAUUGUUUCUUUAAAUUAUUGCUUAGAAUUUUAUUCCUUAGAAUUGCUCCCUUUUUAAAAUAUUUCUUUCACACAUCACCAGAAGAAGAAAAACUAAAUAUGCAGACCAAGAUAGGCCAAUUUUUCUGUGCUGGGAAAUAUAUUAUUUUAUCAAUACAUUGAUCAUUACUGUAGGUUUAACCAUAUAUCAAAAUUAGAUAAUAUAUUAACUAAUAUCAAUAAAACUGUCAUUUGAUAAAACCUGAAACCAUAAAAUCCUUAAGAUUUGAAGAAGCAACAACAAUUUAUUUCAGUGUAAUGAAAGAGUAAUUGAAAUAGGGUUUGAUCAUAACUAUUGAUGUUGUCAGGAGAGUUUGAUAGCCAAGACAUUUUUAUCCCAUUAAUGAUAUUCAGGGCAAACAUGAUUUUUUUGUAGAUGUGUAUUGAAAUUUGUAAUGCUGUAUAUAUGAAAUUUGGCAGUGCAGUUAUAUUUAAAGUGAUGUGUUGUAUCCAUCCUGCACAUAUCAUGAAUGCAAUAUUUCAGACCAUCUUUCAUAAGAAACAAACAACAGACAGACCAAGUAAAGCAGUAAAAUAUUCUUCACCACUCUAUUUUAAGGAAAAAAGGAAAGUAUUAAAAUCACAUUGUAUCCCAUAUUCAGGUGUUAGCACAUUCAUUUAUUUUGUAAGAUUUUCCCUCCUUCUUGGCCUUUCCUCUGGCUUACAGGGUAAAAAGGAUGUUUUUCUUUCUAUUUAAAAUGUUUUAAUGCAUUUAUGUUGAACUACAUACUUUUGUGAAAAUGGAAGGAAAUUUGCUGUUUGGACUUCCCUUCAGUUUUUGGAUUGUUUUCACUGAAAGGCCUUAGUCUUAUUUUUAAAUGAAGAGUUUGACAGUGGGACUUGCUCUCUAAAUUCAACUUUGCAAAGAUUUAAAUAAAAAAAGGCUGAUAUCUAAAAAUAUAUGACAUUUCAGACUAUUAGUGGCUGUCAAUAGCUAUAGAGUAGCAUUGUUUCAUGUUGGCUAAUUUGGGUUAUAUUACACAUCUUUUAAUAAGAAAAAAACUUCCUCGUUGUGGUAAAUGACAACCAACCUGUUCCCCAGAUUUCCCUAAUGACCAAACAUCUGGGUGGUACUCAUGAGCAGCCCAAGGUGACUUGUUCUGUGCUUUCCUUCCUCUCGCAUGACUCAUUUGCAGCAAGGUGCCGUCUCACUUUUACAAAUUCUUUAUCAAAAUUCUCCUUUACAUCAGGGACCAUUGUAAUAUUUCUCAGAGUGUCACUGAAUUUUGAAGCAUGAGAAAGUUUAAAUAUCAACUUCACUGAAGAGACGAAAUUCUAUUACAAGCUAUUCUAGCACAGUUAGAAAGUACAUAUUUUUAGCAAUGAUGGUAUCCUGGCCAAACAUUUUGCAGGAAGUAGAAGGAAUCACAUCUCCUGCUGGUGAAAAGAAAGCGCUACAAACUGAAUUUCUCAACGAUAGAACAGCACACAAAUCAGGAAAUGUGAUAGGAGAUUUUAUUUGUGAAUAAAGAAAUUGAGCUUACAUUCCGGCUAGAUGUUGGCAGCAACUUUUUAAAGCUUUUUGUAUUAUCAUAUUUUGUUCAUUAAUAAGGUGCUCUUAUUGAUUGAAUGUGGCCUCUGACCACUAGCUAAAGGUAGCUCUUAAAAUAAUUAAAAAUCAUUGACCAUCUGUUGAGUCAGAAACAGAAGUUUGAUUGAGAAGAUCAACAAAAGAUUGGAUGUGUUAAAGAUACAAGACUUCUGUUGUAUUUUUGUCUAUAAUUUAAACAAAAAGGUAUCUCAUGUCACAACCAAGAACACAACCAAUUAGCUUAUUUUUAAUCUUUUCCAAUAUGACUCGAUCUAAUCCCUUGGAGAUGUCUAAUAAGUAUUUAGCUGAACUAAUUUCUGCUCCAUGUGUUAACUUUAGGUUCCUAUAUAUGACAGCAUUUUGUUGUGGAAGUGGGUAUAUAAAGUAUUAAAUAGCCAGGACAUAAUUUCCCUUUUAUCCAUAAUUGUAUCCUGUGCAUCUGCUGAUUCCAGGGAUGGCGGGCCUGACGUGUGAGGAGAGAUUGACUAGGUUGGGAUUGUUUUCACUAGAGUCCAGAUGAAUGAAGGGGGAUCUAACAGAUACUUAUAAAAUUCUAACAGGAUUGGGCAGGGUAGAUACAGUGAGGAUGUCCCUGAUGGUGGGUGUGUCCAGAACCAGGGGUCACAGUAUGAGGAUUCAGGGUGGACGAUUUAGGAUGAGAGACAUUUCUUCACCAAAAGAGUGGUGAGACUGUGGAAUUCAUUAUCGUAAGAAGUAGUUGAUGCCAAAACAUUGAAUGCAUUCAAGAGGUGGCCAGAUAUAGCACUUAGGGUGAAUGGGAUCAAAGGUAUGGGAGAAAGCAGGAUUAGGCUAUUGAGUUGGAUGAUCAGCCAUGAUUGUGAAGAAUGGCGGAGUAGAUUUGAAGGGCUGAAUAGCCUCCUCCCACUCCUAUCUUCUGUGUUUCUAUGCUUGAUGGGGCCAUGUUUCUGUCUGCAACUCUUGCUCUCGUAACAUGCUUCUAAAAGAAUUUUCUCUUAUCUUAAUAUCCUUUUCAGCACUUUAUUCAUUUUCCUUUGCGCAGUUCUUAUUUUCUUUGUAUUCCUGCAUUGUUUUUGCAAACUGACCCCUUUGGAUUUCAGCUUUUCUUUGUAGUUGUGUAAGUCUCUUCUUGAUUUAAUCCUGGUUCUUCCCAUAUGAAUUGACAAUGCACUUAACUACGCAAUUGAAGCCUUUGCGUAUUAGGCCAUGUAUUGGUUUUCUAUUGCACCAAAUAAUUCUUGAAUACUUCACACUGUUCUGUAAAUUUAUCCAGUAAAAUCUGAGCAAUUUACUUUACCUAAUUACAAUUCUAUUUCUUCAAAUUUUACCUUGCUUGAACUUAAACAUUGAUUUCUAACUGACCCAUCUCUGUCUCAAGUCUAAUAUGUCAGAUUUUGAGGUCAAUGUUGAACAAAUGAUACGAGGUGUACAUUUCACUGAUAGUUGCUCAUGGACUUUCAAUGAAUUCUUGCAACAAAAAUGCCUCAUUAGCCAACUAUUUAGAAAAGGAUGUCACCUUCAUAGAGCAUCUGGAACCUUUCUGAAACAAUUGUAUUUUCAUAGUGAAUUAGAUUGAAGGAUCAUUAAUGGCUACAACAGACUCUGAACAAGGAAGUGUCAUUUAAAAUAUAGAAUUCAAUGUGAAUUCAAGACAGAUAGGGAAUUAGAAACUUAGAGUCAGUCAUACAGCAUGGAAACAGACCCUUCAGUCCAACCAGGCCAUGCUGACCAUAAUCCCAAACCAAAUUCAUCCCACCUGUCAGCCCUUGGCCCAUAUCUCUCCAAUCAUUUCUUACUCUUGUACUUAUCUAAGUGCCUUUUAAAUGUUGUAACUGUACCUGCAUCCACCACUUCCCCUGGAAGUUCAUUUCACACAUGAACCACACUCCAUGUAAAAAAAAAUUGUCCCCAUGUCUUUUGUAAAUCUUUCUUCUCUCACCUUAAAAUCUGUCCUCUAGAUUUGGAAUUCUCUACUCUAGAGAAAAGCCACCUGCCAUUCAUCUUAUUUAUACCCCUCAUGAUUUUAUAAACCGCUCUAAGGUUAUGUCUCAACCUUCCAUGCUCCAGUGAAAAUGAGUCCCAGCCUAUUUAGCCUAUUUUUAUAAUUCAAAACCCCCAUUCCUGGCAAAUUCUGGUGACAUUCUGGUAAAUCUGUUCUGAACUCUCUCCAGCUUAAUAAUAUCCUUCUUAUAACAGGGCAACCAGACCUGGAAACAGUACUCCAAAAAAGGCCUCAUCAAUGUCGGUACAACUUAGACAUAGCAUCCCAACUUCUAUACUCAAAGGACUGAGCAAUGAAGGGAAGGAUGCAAAACACCUUCUCAACAACCCCAUCUGUUAGGGAUGCAAAUUAUUUUUUAAAAAUGUAAAGAAAGAUUGGAAUAAAUAAGAAAUAAAAAUAAACAGAAAGAAAGGGGAAGCGGCUUUUUGAAUUUUAAUAAAUCUGUACUAUUAUCAGCAUCUAAAGGAAUAAGGCUCCAUGUCAAUAGAAUUAAUUUUCUGAGAGAUUAUUUGGAAUUAGUUAAGAUUUAAAGUUUUAUGGUGAAUUGAGCUCAUAUACAUUAAGUUAGUACAGCAUCUACAAACCAUUUCAUGCAUUUAAGUCAUGAGGCUCUCGUUGAAAACCUGUUAUGGUGCAGUUUCUAGAAGAGCAGGGCACCCUGGACAGGAACUUCCUGGUUACUAAAUUUAACAGCUUAUGUGCAACCACUAGAAGCUGCUGUCCAAAUUAAAUGUGAAUAGUGAUGAGUGCUGUUAGCCUUUCCAUUACAAAUUUCAGUUUACCACAAAUUCAGGCAUAUUAUGGUCUCUAUCUGUAAGGAAGAAGAUAAGUUUGUAGUCUGAAGCCAAUUUGCUUUAUCUAGAACAACAAUAGCAAGUUAUCAUUUGAAAUUUGAUCCCCAAAUUUUUAUGAAUAAAAUUUGAUUGAUCACCUGUUUAAUUAUUUCAACAAUGAACCUGAAUGUAGCAUACAGUCAUAUCACUUUCAUAGGUCAGAAGUGACGCUUACUCCUGUUUGAAAAAUGGACAAUCUGCACUCUACACAUGGCCUUUUAAAUCUGACCCGGGGAAGUAUCAUUGUUUUCACUCUAUGAUCACACACCUGUGGUGUUUAUGUCAUAAGGUUUGGUGUUACUCUGUGGGAUAUUUUUCAUGAACUGCAGGACAUAGAAAUACCACCAUAUACAGUGACCCUGUAGUUAUUCAGUUAUGUAUUUUCCGUAAAAUCUUAUGUGGCGUAGCUAUCAUCCUUCAACCAAAUUGCUGCACUUUAACUUUCAUUUUCUCAUGCUGUUCCAUUAUUAUUUUCAUUCAGUCGUACUUUUUGCUUGACAGUGAGAUUGUGGUGAGUACAACUCCUGUGCUUAAACCUUGAUAUUGUGCAAUUAUGUUUCUGUUGUGCAAAUGGAAUAAUUUCUGAAGAUAUUUGUUAAUUUCUGUCUUAAAAUAGAGUCCUCAGACAUAUCCGUGGUUACUGUUUUUUUUGUGAGUUUGAACAUUAUGUGUCCUUCUUGGCUUCCUGAUUUUACAGCACGUAUAAGAGUGCCUAGUUGAAAUGCAAAAUCACACAGAAUAUCCUCCUAAUUUAUUUUUCUGUGUUAUUAAAUGCAGCUUCUGGGUAAAUCAUUUAAGCUGGCUAUUGCCAAAUUCAACUUGACAAAACCUCCUCAAAAUAAAGUCUUUCAUGAAUGUUCUUUACAAAGUAUGUUGUUAAUAAGACAUAGAAGCUAGAAAAAAAGAAUUAGUACAACCUUUCAAAUCAAACAGCGGAGCAGGCUCAAGGGCCAAAUGACCUCCUACUACUCAUGUUCUUAUGCUAUGCUGCAGCCUGAGUGCACCUACUCUUGGAGAGAUGCACUCCAGCUGCAAUCUGUGAGAGGCGGACAUGCAUCUGGGCUCCCAGUCAGUCAGCAGGGUGUUCACUGCACCACCAAUGGGCCAAAUUGAAUUUUUAGGUUCUGGAAAAUAGAUUGGACUGAGAGGAAAGUUCCUAUCAUAGAAAUGUGUUACUUCUUUGCAAUAGUCUUUUAAUGAAGAUAAUCUCUGUUUAAUUGUAAGAUUUAAUAAAUUUUCCUUACCCCCAAAUCCAUAUAUUAUAAAAAUCAAACACUUAGUGAUUUCAUGCUCCAUUUUCACAAUUUUAUCUGCCAAAUGGAUAACAUGCAAGCCUCUGAACCAAUAUCCAUGUUAUAUCUGGCUAGGUGCUGCUUAAGAAUUUCUUUUAGUAUUUGUAGACUUAAUGUAACUCUAUUAUCGUACUGUUAUCUGACAUAUUCAUAACACAAUAAUAACAUGUAAAAAAUAUUUUUAGGUGUAUCUUCUGGAGCAUCUGUGCAGAAAGAAGUGCAAAAACCACUGACUCUCAGUGUCUGUUGAGAGGAAAGGUGAAGCUGUUCACCUCGAGCUGCAAAGGGAGAUGGAAGUGGAGCUGACCUUUAUGCUCAUUGGAACUGAUCCUAAUGAUCCAGCCACAGAAGCUGUGAUUGCUGCACAAAUAGUUGUUCCACGAAUAGAUGAGAAAAACUCUCUUCACUUCUUUGAAGAUGUUACAAAUAAACAAGGUAGUCGAACGUCCAAUGAAGUGAUUUAGUUGUACUGGAGAGCCUUUGACAAUAUCCCAUUUAAGAAACCACUAAAAGCCUUUGGAAAUGAAAAGAAGAAUUUUCAAGUUCAAAGGUGUGACUAUGAGUACUCACAUGGUGACAGUUUAUGCUUGCUGCUUUGUGGGAGCAGAAACAGAAGACUCGCAUUGAGAGAAUUUCCUGCACCAUGAGCUUCCUCAGAUGAAGACAACAGUACAUGGUUUAAUUUCCAUCCUCAAGUAAAGAACAAAGCCAACAGGACCUGACAAUUACAGAUGGCAUGCACCACAUGGAACAAGCACACCAGAAAAUCCCACCAUUUUAUCACAGCCCAUUAUUCAUUCAUUUUCUGACAGGGUUUGUGAUUACAGAUCACUUGAUUGACUAACUAGACAUCUGCAAAGUGAAUUACAGAACAGGUUUGUUUCAUCUCACAAUUGUCAGAUCAUGUUGUAAUUCUUCACAAUAGUUGUAUGUUAAAGAACUAUUUAUAGCAGAAUAAAUAAUAAUUAAGGCCUUGGUUUGCUCAAUAUAUACACAUUUAAGCAUAAAAAUGUUUAAUUAAAAUAGUUUAUUUCUUUGCCAAAGAAGAAAGAUUAGGUACAACAUAUCUCUAUAUUUGGUUAUUUCUCGUCUUUAUUCACUUUUUCUCUUGAUUGCUGCACAGUGAACCCCUUGCACUGAUUGACUAACACUCUGGGUUUCCAUUAAAUAAAGCACUUGUAGAAUUCAAUCAAUUUUGGCACACCUGACUUAUUAAAAUUUGCAUAAUGUUUAAUUAUCUAUCUUAAAAAGAUAGUUUUAAACCCGUCUAUCUUAAUGCAAUAUGCUAUCUCCUAAAAUGGAGGAAUUUGAUAUUUAUGAAAAGGAAGUGUUGUAAUCUUCAUCCAUGAUUGCUGUAAAUUUUGCUUCCAUUGCACAAUGAGAAGUGAAUAGAGAAGAAGAAUUUCAUUUUAUUCCUGUAACUGCACAGAAUUUCAGGAAUUUCGAUUGCUUUCAACGAUACCUUGUUUCCUUGGCUCCAGUGGUCCAAAAUCAGUUGCAUCAACUUCACUGUUUUGCAGAUACUAGAAAAACACCAGGUAAAAUCAUUUUACAACUAAGGGUUGACUCCAGUCUACAUCAAUGAAGUUCUAUUAAAACUCUGACUUUGAAGCCAGUUUUUGUUAUGCUGGAGAUUCCAAAUGUGAUUUUAGACAGCAUCCAGCAUGUAUAUCCAUAUGCAAUACUGUUAACUGGUCAUAUCUGUAACAUCCCAAGCAUUUGAACUAAGCCUAUGUAUGGCCUUCAUUAAAUAAAAGCAAGCUAGUUCAGAAGAGGCAAUGCUAAAUGUUCAAAGGGUUAUUUGAGGAAGACUUCCACUAUCAAUAGUAAAAGUACAUCAUAAAAUUUGUAGUUCCCAGCAUUUUCUAAACCAUCAAUGAAUGGCUGAAAUCUAAAAUGUAUCAAACAGAAAUUUCUAUUAUUUUUGACUAAUUGAGAUCUUGGUGAUCCAAAGUUUAUAAAAGAUGAAAGAGGCAACAUUUUCAAUAACAUUAAAAUUCAGCAUUUCUGAA